rnacentral:rRNA from 1 species
GACGAACGCUGGCGGCGUGCUUAACACAUGCAAGUCGAACGGCAAGGCCCUGCUUUUGUUGGGGGCUCGAGUGGCGAACGGGUGUGUCACACGUGAGUAACCUGCCCUUUACUUUGGGAUAACUUCAGAAAACUGGGGCAUAUAGCGGAUGGUAGCUCCUGCUGCAUGGUGGGGGUUGGAAAGUUUCGGCGGUUGGGGAUGGACGCGCGGCUUAUCAGCUUGUUGGUGGGGUAGUGGCUUACCAUGGCUUUGACGGGUAGCCGGCCUGAGAGGGUGACCGGCCACAUUGGGACUGAGAGACGGCCCAGACUCCUACGGGAGGCAGCAGUGGGGAAUAUUACACAAUGGGAGGAAGCCUGAGGAAGCAACGCCGCGGGCGGGAAGACGGCCUUCGGGUGGUAAACCGCUUUCGCCUGUGACGAAGCGUGAGUGACGGUAAUGGGUAAAGAAGCACCGGCUAACUACGUG